rnacentral:rRNA from 1 species
AUUGAACACUGGCGGCAGGCCUAACACAUGCAAGUCGAACGGUAACAGGAAGAAGCUUGCUUCUUUGCUGACGAGUGGCGGACGGGUGAGUAAUGUCUGGGAAACUGCCUGAUGGAGGGGGAUAACUACUGGAAACGGUAGCUAAUACCGCAUAACGUCGCAAGACCAAAGAGGGGGACCUUCGGGCCUCUUGCCAUCGGAUGUGCCCAGAUGGGAUUAGCUAGUAGGUGGGGUAACGGCUCACCUAGGCGACGAUCCCUAGCUGGUCUGAGAGGAUGACCAGCCACACUGGAACUGAGACACGGUCCAGACUCCUACGGGAGGCAGCAGUGGGGAAUAUUGCACAAUGGGCGCAAGCCUGAUGCAGCCAUGCCGCGUGUAUGAAGAAGGCCUUCGGGUUGUAAAGUACUUUCAGCGGGGAGGAAGGGAGUAAAGUUAAUACCUUUACUCAUUGACGUUACCCGCAGAAGAAGCACCGGCUAACUCCGUG